rnacentral:misc_RNA from 1 species
GAUGAAGAACGCAGCGAAAUGCGAUAAGUAAUGUGAAUUGCAGAAUUCAGUGAAUCAUCGAAUCUUUGAACGCACAUUGCGCCCCUUGGUAUUCCGAGGGGCAUGCCUGUUCGAGCGUCAUUAUAACCCCUCAAGCUCAGCUUGGUGUUGGGGCCUGCUGCACUGGCAGCCCUUAAAAUCAGUGGCGGCGCCAUCUGGCUCUAAGCGUAGUAAUUCUUCUCGCUAUGGAGACCUGGUGGAUGCUUGCCAUCAACCCCCAAUUUUUCUAUGGUUGACCUCGGAUCAGGUAGGGAUACCCGCUGAACUUAAGCAUAUCAAUAAGCGGAGGA